CUGGAGAAUGGAAGUGCAAGAUCAAGGGUAUAAACACACUUGACAUUUGUUCUCUCAUCCUCAACUCUCAAGAGAAAAUGAAACUUCGAAGAUCACUUACACACAAGCAAAUUAACCUGGUAUUUUGGAGCUGCAGCCUAUGCUUCCUCCUGCCCAAUCACUGUGGACUGUUCUCUGAACUUCAUAAAGAAGCCCCACAAGAGAAGGAGAAAAUCGUGAUGCCUCCAAACACCAGCCCAGAUGGUCACAGGGCCUGAGACCACUGAGUGCUUUUACAAGAAUUACAGCACUGUACAACCAGCAUUGUCUCAUUCACCAUCUUAUCCAUGCCCCCCGAACCAAGACAGGACUUUCUCAAAGUGGGUUUCAGAACUCUAAUCCCCUGAAAUGUUCCUCAGAAAAAUUUCCCAAGGUCCAACAAGUUUGAGAAGUGUUCUGUACUGUGUUCUCCCUCCACUCUUUGACAUUCACAGGCAGUUUAGCAAAUUCAAAGCACUGAAAAUUCCUACAAUAAGAUAGCUCUUUUGACUUUGUUCAGCUCAGAGAAUCUUAAGUGUAUCUUAUCAUAGAGCUUUAUUGAUUUAUUGAUUUAUUGAUUUAUUUAUUUAUUUUUGAGAGGGAGUUUUGCUCCUGUUGCCCAGGGCUGGAGUGUAAUGGCAUGAUCUUGGCUCAACACAACCUCCACCUCCAGGGUUCAAGCAAUUCUCCUGCCUCAGCCUCUGGAGUACCUGGGAUUACAGGCAUGCGCCACCAUGCCCUGACAUAAUAUCUAUGAAGACCUUGUGAAGUGAGCAUUCUACUGAAUAUAGAAAAUGCUGGCCCCCAUCACUGUCUGGUUCAAAUGAGAGCAAAAUAACCUCUUCCUUAGGGGUUUGAAAUCAGCUGGCUUCAAUCUAGAGCUGGGGCAUUUCAACAAGUCACCAAGAAACUUUUUCAUGAAGACAUUCAGAUCUACAAAGUUAAGGCAACCCACUUUUCGAAAUUAAUUUAGAACUACUUGCUGCCAUCUUUCACUACUUAGUUUAAAUACCAUGUCUGGAGAAAAUAUAUGUAAUUUGCAUUGUCAGUAUCAAAAAAAUGACAGUAAUUGUAAUUUCCAUGAGCGGAACAAUCUGUUAUAAAAGAAAUGUUAAUACUCUUAAAGUCUAAAUCCUUUACAGAAUGUGGCAUCUCUUCUGAUGUGUCUCUUGGGCUUGAAUGCUUUCCUUUAAAUUGCACUGUAUUUAUAAUUCUAUUCACAGCUCGCGACACCCCGGUUUUGAAUGUGUCUCCUGGGAUUGAUAUUUGGUGCCAUUUAUUGACGAGGCAGAAGGAGGGUGAGAGCCUUUUUAGGACUGCUGAAAGAGAGCCUGCUGAUCCUGACAAGAUCAAAAUGACCCUUGAAACCGUUUGAUAAUGGGCUGAACUCAGAGCACUUUGUUGCUCUCUCUACAUGGUGCCUUUCUGUUGCAAUGUAAGCGGCAGGAAAAGAAAGGGGAUCUGCACAAAAUCCACCCAGAAGCGGAAGUGUGCCUCUUCCCAAGCUUGAACUUCUUCAGUGAGAAAUUCUCCAUGUCCUACACAACAUUUCGAGGAACACUGCUUCCUUUAUCUCAGCCCCCGAGGAGCACCUCGAGCCUUUUCUCUCAGCGGGGAACAACCUGCCAGAAUAAUGGAAUGGAGAGUAGAGUGUUGUGUUGGAUUUCUUCUGACGCUGAUGGAGUGAGCACAUGCCGGAGGUUGCCUGUGGGUUUCCCAUCCCUUCUACAAAUGAAUUGGGCUGGGAGGGGUGCAGGGUGGCUCCUCCAGCCAGAAUGGAGUGAAGAGCUGCUCUUCCGCUCCGCCAUCUGGGUAAAGCUGAACAACCGUGGCCGAGCCUAGUCUUGAGCCUUAGUCAAAGGAUCUGUGGUUGGAUAAUCCCCCAAAUAGUUGAAAGCUGUUUAAGGCUCAAGAAAACACUAAAAGGGGAUUGCAUUCAUUUCUCAGAGCAAAGCUUACACAAAUCUCUCCCUAAGGAGGACCAGCUACAUAAUUUGCGGAGCCCAGUGCAAAGUGAAAAUGCAGAGCCCUUUAUUUAAAAAUUAUAAGAAUUUCCAGAGAGCAACAGCAGAGCAUUAAACAAGGUGCAGAGCCCUUUGGAGGCUGGGCCCUGUGUGAUUGCACAGGGUGCAUGCCCAGGAAACCAGUGGUGCCCUGGGCUUCUAUCUCAUCACCAGCAUCCUCUCUCUCUCUCUCUCUCUCAGACACAAGGGGGCUACCUCAAGUAUCUGUCCUCUCCUUCUUCCAAGUGUCCCCCACAUUCUUUCCCAAGCCAGUUCUGCAGAAACCUACCUAGUCUUUCUCUAUAUGACUCCAUCUCCGUGUGUUAUCCCAUAGCUCCACUUGGCCUCUUGCCUCCUUCACUCUCCCCUAUUUACCUGGCCCAGAUUCAGUGCUAUAAAGAAUAUUGCAGCUCAUGAGAUCUAGUCUUCCUUAUAGGCAGAGGCAUGAGGGAGAGGUUUAGAACACUUAAGUAUAUCUGUUAGUACUUUAUUUAUUCAUAUGUGUUCAUUAUUGACAUGUAUCAUUUGUUAUCAAGUGUUGGCGGUUAUUUGCCAUCCAUAAAAUGCAACUGCUUUCUAGCUCUGAGAAUUUCUGUUCUAAAGUAGGCAACAAAGAUGAUGAUAGAUAGAUAGCAGCUAUUAUGCACCCACUAUGUGCUUGCUAGUAAAGGUCCUGAACCUUUUACACACAUUAGCUCCUUUAGUCCUCCCUGCCAUGUGAGGGAUUUAUUAAUAUUAUUUCCAUGUGUGCAUGAGGAACUGGAGCUUAGAGAGGCUGUGGACUUGUCCUCUUUCACAGCCCCACCAUCUGGUUCUCCAGCUUGGGUUCUUGGUCCUAUCAAGCUAUGCUGCAAACAAAUGAGAAUGAUUAGCUGUUCUCCCCACACUGCCUCUCUGCCAGGCAUAAAUAGAUUCUUAAUUAAUAUUUGCUGAAUAAAUGAAUGUGUUAGUUAUUAGGUAAGACAAGGAGAUGAAGAUGAAAACAUAUAAAAUAGAAAAGAAUAGGCUAAUUCUGGUCAGAGAACUGUGUACAAGUUCCAGUAAUUCCUUAAUUCUCUUGUUCGUGGAGAUUUAAGUAGCAAUUGCUGAACAUCCCCUUCUGUUUGGGGGAUCAGAGGCCUGGUCCAGUUCAUCUUUAGAUUCCCCACAGGCCUCACAUGGCACCAACUAGCUGCUCAACUAAUUCCCUUAAUUGAAUUAAUUUGAAUUGAAUGGAAUUAAAUUGAAUCAGAACUUUUUUUGUAAGAAGCUGGCUUUAAGCAGAGAGAGAUUUAAAUGUAGAUUAAACAGGCUCAAUCACUCUUUAGAAGUACACAAAAUAACUGUGAACAGACCCCAAACAACUUCAGAUACCAAGCCUUCCAUAAAAGCUUCCAAGCCUCCAGGUACCUGGCCUGAGCUUGCUCAUUUUCCAACAGUGAUUAAGGGGUUACAUGAAGUCUUUAAAUUCUGCCACACUCCCAUGAAUGGGUAUUAAAUAAUAUUCCUUUAAGCUACCGGAACUGCUGCAUGGGGAUUCUGCCUCAUCUUUAUGGAUGCGUUGUCAUAAUUUCUAGAAUUAUAGAACUCAACUCAUACCUCCAUAUAUCCCAAGGAAACAAUAUAAGAAGUUUUUCUUCCCUCUCAGCUCAGAGCAUAUAAAAUGAUCUCUCACUACUCUGAAUUAGAGCAGAUGAAUUUAAAGACACUUUCUUGAAUAAACCUCUGGGUUGGGCUUAGGGGAUAAGUUCACUGUUCUGGCAGGCCUCUGUUUCCAAGGAAAACACAAAGGUGAGAAUGUUGUGCACCGAGACUGAGAUGUUCCACACACCACUGGCUGCCUUACCUCUUGCCCCAAACAGCACAAGGAGAGGGAGACAGUAUUGCUCUCAAAAGCUGGUAGUUGGAGGCAUCCCCUCCCCUCUAUUUCUUCCCCUGCCCAUACCCUGUUCCUUGGCCCCCACCCCUUGUAAUUCACAAAGCAAGAUCCAAACCAGGUUCUAACAUAGUCCUGUAAGAUGGGAGCAGCAGUCAUCUUGGUCACCACUCACCCCAUACAAACACACUGUCCAAGAUACAGAAACCAAAGUACAGCUCAGGUAAGUAGCACUAUGGUCUCACACCAGGCACUGUCAAAGUGCAGGGAUUCACACCUCAAAUGUUUCAGUCACUAUUCAGUAAGUUGAGAUUUUUUCCAAUUGGACCCUCAGGCUCACAUCCCCAAAUCCCUAGACAAACCCAGUAAAGACAUAGGAACCUGCAUCAUUAUUGUGUCUCCCAAUUAUUGAGAGCUUACUAUCUGCAAGGAUAAGUAGCAUGCUCAAGGUUCUGUGGACAGCUCAAGAUCCCAUGCAAAGUCCAAGGUCCCAUGGGCAGCUCCAGGUCCCAUGUAUAGCAGGAGGCAAAAACGGAACUGGAGCCCAGGUCCAUCUGACCCCAAGGGCAUAUAUAAAAGCACUGAAGUAUGUUGCCUUUCUAUAGAAACAUUAACCCUUCAGCAGAUAGCUGUUGAAUGAUUGUAGAUGAAACUGAUCUUGGAGGAGAGAGAGUAGAGCAAUCAUUUACAAAGAAAAAGGGAACUGAUCCAUGGGUUGGUCUAUCCUAAGGGCUCUGUUCAUGCCCCAACUUCCAGAAUGGGGAGUCCAGGCACCUCCUGGUGCUUCCCUCCUUCAACCAGGUGUGCGUGUGCACACACAUCCACACAAACACACCCCAGAACUCCAAAGAAGGUUUUACAAAUUAUUUACUUCAACCUUUACUGAGUCUAAAGAAUACUAAGGCUUUGGGUAUAGUGCCCAGCCUCUAAGGAUUUUUAGGGCAUCCCUGCAGGGCCAACACUUCAGCUAUAGAACCUCUCAUUCACAUUCUCUUCCCAUCUCCAAACAUCCCUCUUUCCUUCCAGCUCCUUUUUUUCCUCCACCCUAAUACCACUUCCACUUUGUGGGUUGGCAGUCAUUCUCUCUUCUACCCAGUUCUGUUCCUAAGGAGAGGGAAACUUCAAAUCAUGAGGAUGAAAAAAGGGAUAGAGGCUCUGGGUAGAUUAUUUUUUAUUAUUAUUAUACUUUAAGUUUUAGGGUACAUGUGCACAAUGUGCAGGUUUGUUACAUGUAUAUACAUGUGCCAUGUUGGUGUGCUGCACCCAGUAACUCAUCAUUUAAUAUUAGGUAUAUCUCCUAAUGCUAUCCCUCCCAACUCCCC
rnacentral:lncRNA from 10 species